rnacentral:rRNA from 1 species
UCUGGUUGAUUCUGCCAGUAGUCAUAUGCUUGUCUCAAAGAUUAAGCCAUGCAUGUCUAAGUAUAAGCAAUUUAUACGGUGAAACUGCGAAUGGCUCAUUAAAUCAGUUAUCGUUUAUUUGAUAGUACCUUACUACAUGGAUACCUGUGGUAAUUCUAGAGCUAAUACAUGCUGAAAACCUCGACUUCGGAAGGGGUGUAUUUAUUAGAUAAAAAACCAAUGCCCUUCGGGGCUCCUUGGUGAAUCAUAAUAACUUAACGAAUCGCAUGGCCUUGCGCCGGCGAUGGUUCAUUCAAAUUUCUGCCCUAUCAACUUUCGAUGGUAGGAUAGUGGCCUACCAUGGUGGCAACGGGUAACGGGGAAUUAGGGUUCGAUUCCGGAGAGGGAGCCUGAGAAACGGCUACCACAUCCAAGGAAGGCAGCAGGCGCGCAAAUUACCCAAUCCCGACACGGGGAGGUAGUGACAAUAAAUACUGAUACGGGGCUCUUUUGGGUCUCGUAAUUGGAAUGAGUACAAUCUAAAUCCCUUAACGAGGAACAAUUGGAGGGCAAGUCUGGUGCCAGCAGCCGCGGUAAUUCCAGCUCCAAUAGCGUAUAUUAAAGUUGUUGCAGUUAAAAAGCUCGUAGUUGAACCUUGGGUUCGGCCGGCCGGUCCGCCUCACCGCGAGUACUGUCCGGCCGUUCCUUUCCUUCUGGGGAAUCCCAUGGCCUUCACUGGCUGUGGGGGGGAACCAGGACUUUUACUGUGAAAAAAUUAGAGUGUUCAAAGCAGGCCUUUGCUCGAAUACAUUAGCAUGGAAUAAUAGAAUAGGACGUGUGGUUCUAUUUUGUUGGUUUCUAGGACCGCCGUAAUGAUUAAUAGGGAUAGUCGGGGGCGUCAGUAUUCAGCUGUCAGAGGUGAAAUUCUUGGAUUUGCUGAAGACUAACUACUGCGAAAGCAUUC